AGAGUUUGAUCAUGGCUCAGGAUCAACGCUGGCGGCGUGCCUAAUGCAUGCAAGUCGAACGGCUGGUCUUCGGACCAGCAGUGGCGAACGGCUGAGGAACACGUACGAACCUACCCGCUCGUGGGGAAUAACGCGCCGAAAGGCGUGCUAAUACCGCGUACGCUUGCCUUCGGGUAAGGAAAGCCUUCGGGCGCGGGCGGCGGGGCGUGCGGCCCAUCAGGUGGUUGGCGGGGUAAUGGCCCACCAAGCCGGUGACGGGUCGCUGGUCUGUGAGGACGAUCAGCCAGACUGGGACUGCGAAACGGCCCAGACACCUACGGGUGGCAGCAGCAAGGAAUCUUCGGCACUGGGCGCAAGCCUGACCGAGCAACGCCGCGUGGAGGACGACGGCCUUCGGGUUGUAAACUCCUUUCGGUGGGGACGAAACGGACGGUACCCGCAGAAGCAGCCCCGGCUAACUCUGUGCCAGCAGCCGCGGUAAUACAGAGGGGGCAAGCGUUGUCCGGAUUUACUGGGCGUACAGCGCGCGCAGGCGGUCUCUGACGUGCCGUGUGACAAGCCACUGCUUAACAGUGGAGGGCCACGGUAGACGGGGAGACUGGAGGCAGGGAGAGGGAUGUGGAAUACCCGGUGGAGCGGUGAAAUGCGUAGAGAUCGGGUGGAACACCAGCGGCGAAGGCGGCAUCCUGGCCCUGAACUGACGCUGGGGCGCGAGAGCGUGGGGAGCGAACAGGAUUAGAUACCCCUGUAGUCC
rnacentral:rRNA from 1 species